CCUUGCUGAUGCUGCCAAUAGCAUAUGCCUGUCUCAAAGAUUAAGCCAUGCACUUGUAAGCACACACGGCCAGAACAGUGAAACUGUAAAUGGCUCAUUAACUUAGUUAUGGUUCCUUUGAUCACUCCAUCUGUUAUUUGGAGAACUGUGGUAAUUAUAGAGCUAAUACAUGUAGGCAAGCGCUGACCUCUCACGAUGAAAGCAUUUAUGAGACCAAGACCGAUCCGGGCUCGCCGUACACUUUGAUGACUCUAGAUAACCUUGGGCCGAUCGCACAUCUGUGUGACAGCGACAAUACGUUUGGAUGUCUGACCUAUCAACUUUCAAUGGCAUUCCUGUGCCUACCAUGGUGACCAUGGGUAACAGGAAAUCAGGUUUGUUACCAGAGUCUGAGAAACAGAUACCACAUCCAAGGAAGGCAGCAGGCGUGAAAAUUAGCCACUCCCUACUCAGGGAGGUUUGGAUGAAAAAUAACAAUUCAGGACACUUUGAGGACCUGUAAUUGGUAUGAGUACACUUUAAAUCCCUUAAGGAGGAUCCAUUGAAGGGCAAGUCUGGUGCCAUAGUUGCAGUACUUCAAGCUCUAACAUCGUAUAUUAAAGUUACUGCAGUUAAAAAGCUCAAAGAUGGAUCUUGAGAUGUUGCUGAUGGUCCAUCGCGAGGUGAGAUACUGCCUGUCCCAGCUCUUGCCUCUCAGUAACCCUUUGAUGCUCUUGACUGAAUGUCUUGGCAUCCAAAACAAGUUCUUUGAAAAUCUUACAGUGUUCAAAGCAGGCUAAUUACCUGAAUACUUUAGUUAGGAAUAAUGGAAUAUGAUUUUGGUUCUAUUUUGUUAGUUUUCAGAACUGGGCAAUGAUUAAGAGGGACGGCCGGGUGCAUUUGUAAUGUGCCGCUGGAGAUGAAAUUCUUGACCGGCGCAAGACAAACCAAAGUAAAAGCAUUUGCCAAGAAUGUUUUCAUUAAUAAAGAAUGAAAGUUGGAGGUUUGAAGACGAUCAGAUACUGUCAUACUUAAGGAUGCCGUCUAGCAAUCGGCGGUAUUAUUACCAUGACCCACCAAGCUGUUCCCGGGAAACCAAAGACUUCUGGGGUUUCAAAGCUGAAUCUUGAAGUAAUUGAUGGAAGGCACCACCAGGAGCAGAGCUUGUGGCUUAAUUUGACUCAACACGGGAAACCUCACCCGGCCCAAACAUGGAAAGGAUUGACCGAUUGAUAGCUCUUUCUCGAUUCUGUGGGUGGUGGUGCAUGGCAGUUCUUAGUUAGUGGAGUCAUUUGUCUGGUGAAUUCCUAUAACAAACAAGACUCCUCAUGCUAACUAGUUACAUGACCCCAAUAAUCAGCGUUCAACUUCUGAGAGGGACAAGUGGCGUUCAACCACUGGAUUAAGCAAUAAACAGGUCUGUGAUGCCCUUAGAUGUCCGGAGCUGCAUGCACGCUAAACUGAAUGGAUCAGCAUUUGUCUACGCUUCUUGACAGGUGAGGGUAACCCACUGAACCCAGCUUGUGAUAGGGAUUGGGGAUUACAAUUAUAUCCAUGAAAAAGAAUUCCCAGUAAGUGGGGGUCAUAAGCUUGCAUUGAUUAAGUCCCUGACCUUUGUACAGAAGGGCUGUCGCUACUACCAAUUCGAUGGUUUAGUGAGGUCCUCAGAUCGCCCCGCCGAGGUCCACAAUGACACUAGUGGAGAGUCGAGAAAAUAAUCAAACAUGACUAGACGAGGUAAAAGUCAUAACAAAGUUUCUGUAGGUGAACCAGUGGAAG
rnacentral:rRNA from 1 species